GACGAACGCUGGCGGCGUGCUUAACACAUGCAAGUCGAACGGAAAGGCCCUGCUUUUGUGGGGUGCUCGAGUGGCGAACGGGUGAGUAACACGUGAGUAACCUGCCCUUGACUUUGGGAUAACUUCAGGAAACGGGGGCUAAUACCGGAUAGGAGCUCCUUCUGCAUGGUGGGGGUUGGAAAGGUUCGGCGGUUGGGGAUGGACUCGCGGCUUAUCAGCUUGUUGGUGGGGUAGUGGCUUACCAAGGCUUUGACGGGUAGCCGGCCUGAGAGGGUGACCGGCCACAUUGGGACUGAGAUAAGGCCCAGACUCCUAAGGGAGGGAGCAGUGGGGAAUAUUGCAACAUGGGGGGAAGCCUGAUGCCGCAACGCCGCGUGCGGGAUGACGGCCCUCGGGUUGUAAACCGCUUUCGCCUGUGACGAAGCGUGAGUGACGGUAAUGGGUAAAGAAGCAACGGCUAACUACGUG
rnacentral:rRNA from 1 species